ensembl:lncRNA
GAAAUUUGUGGCACCAUGAAGACAGUACGCACCUGCUAAAAUCGCUUUCCUAUUGAACAUACGUCUUCUGUAAGAAAUAUUACAGUUUGAUUACAUUUUAGGGUAAAUGGAAACAUAUUUUGACUUGUUGAAAGAAAGUUUAGGGGUAGAUUUUCGGAUUCCUUUCUCUACAAGUUGUACAAGUGGAUAACUCAAAUCGAUGGCGCUAACUGAACGGUAGCGGGACGCCUAUCCCUAAGAAGUUUUAAGACAUGAAGCUUAGUAAAUGCGGAAAAUGUCAAGAACUUUGAAAGUUUCUUCAAGUGCAAUCGUAAAAACCAUCAAGCGCUGUGAUGAAAAUGGCUCUCAUGAGGACUGCCACAGUAAAGGAAGACCCAGAGUUAGCCUCAGAAAUUGCAACCCAAAUGCUUUACAGAGUUCAGACGAGAGGGAAUAUAUCUGUGGGUACUGUUCAUCGUGUGAUCCACACAGCAGAGAAGCCAAUCCAAUCUGCGGCUUCACCUGCCCCCAGAAGGCCUCUCUCAACUGACACAUGAAGAAGCACGACUCCGACGCCACCUCUCCUGCUCCAUCUGCGAUAAUAAAUUUGAGAAGGACAGCGUGAUGGCCCACAAGAGCUGAGGCUGAACCAUCUGAACUUAAUGAUCAGCUUGGGCUCACCGACCCAAAGGAGUCAAGACAGAGCUGGCUCCGGACAUAGCUAAGGUUGCCGCCUCCCUGGGCACAUGUUCAUUCAACACCUAGGCGCAUAUGCUGAUUUCUCAUAUAAAUGCACCCAUUCAUUCAGGUUCCAGACCAGUUAACUAGGCCCAAGACGUCAUAACGUAAGACCCCUAGACAUAACAAGUCCGGUCACAGGCCAGUUAGCUAGGCCUAAGACCCCUAGACAUAAUGAGUGCAACAAAAUCAGUAGGCUUGUUAUGGGUUUUGUAACAUAGGAGCAUGUCUGGCAUAAAUGUUAACACAUGUUAGCAUUAGUGGUUGUAGUCCAGAUGGUUGUGAACCGGUGUGGUUCAGUAGUGUGGUUGUGCAUUUGUUGAGAAGUUUUGUCGCAGGUCUUUGUGUCGAGCUAGCAUGCAAGGUGAGGUUAGCGGCAGGCUAAUGUUAAUCUGAUUUAAUCAGGCUGUAAUACGUCAUUAAUUGGUAUAUAAAAAAAAAUGAAACUGUCUGCAAAAUCUUGUAAAUGUUC